rnacentral:rRNA from 1 species
CACGUAGGGCGCAAGCGUUGUCCGGAAUUAUUGGGCGUAAAGCGCUCGUAGGCGGUUUGCUGAGUCCGCUGUGAAAACCCAAGGCUUAACCUUGGGCUUGCAGUGGAUACGGGCAGACUAGAGGUAGGUAGGGGAGAAUGGAAUUCCCGGUGUAGCGGUGAAAUGCGCAGAUAUCGGGAGGAACACCGGUGGCGAAGGCGGUUCUCUGGGCCUUACCUGACACUGAGGAGCGAAAGCGUGGGGAGCGAACAGG